AAAAACGUUGUUUCGGAAAAAUGGCCUAUCGAUAUAGAGCCACCAGAGUUUGAGGAUCUAGAGUACGAUGGUCUAGAAAAUUUAGCCGGAUACAUAUGCCACCGAUUGCGAGACGAUAUCCCCAGCACCUCACUCAAAGGCGCAGAUGAUCCCUCCUACACAUGGGUAAAUCACUUAAGUGAAGGAGGAUUAUCUGUACCUAGCAGCAGUAUGAUGGAACAUAUAAGCAAUCUAGAAUCAGUAUUCAGAGCAAUGAACGAAGAUGGUUUGCUCAUUACAAAUGAUUUUGUAAAAAAACAUAUUGAGCAGGCCUCUAGUAUAAAUUGCGACAUUAAAAUAAAAAAAAUAUUUUUUAGGGCGAGAAUGUUUUUUACGUUAAGAAAACUUAAUAAAAAACUAAUUGAAAACGCCCGCACAAAAAAAAGAAAAUAUACAAAAAUACUGACCUAGAUUUGCUUGUAUUGGUCCAGAAAACUGAAACUGUCUGAUGUCGCUUCAUAUUAAUGUUCUUUUAAUGUUCAAGUUCGUAACGAGAACGGUUCUUCAGUUCAUCCGUUUAAUAUAAAGGCCCUUUUCAGGGCCGCAA